rnacentral:rRNA from 1 species
GAUGAACGCUGGCGGCGUGCCUAAUACAUGCAAGUCGAGCGAACGGACGAGAAGCUUGCUUCUCUGAUGUUAGCGGCGGACGGGUGAGUAACACGUGGAUAACCUACCUAUAAGACUGGGAUAACUUCGGGAAACCGGAGCUAAUACCGGAUGAUAUUUUGAACCGCAUGGUUCAAAAGUGAAAGACGGUCUUGCUGUCACUUAUAGAUGGAUCCGCGCUGCAUUAGCUAGUUGGUAAGGUAACGGCUUACCAAGGCAACGAUGCAUAGCCGACCUGAGAGGGUGAUCGGCCACACUGGAACUUAGACACGGUCCAGACUCCUACGGGAGGCAGCAGUAGGGAAUCUUCCGCAAUGGGCGAAAGCCUGACGGAGCAGCGCCACGUGAGUGAUGAAGGUCUUCGGAUCGUAAAGCUCUGUUAUUAGGGAAGAACAUAUGUGUAAGUAGCUGUGCACAUCUUGACGGUACCUAAUCAGAAAGCCACGGCUAACUACGUG